UGACCAGGUGUGUCCCAGGUGUGUCCAGGUGUGUCCCAGGUGUGUCCCAGGUGUGUCCAGGUGUGUCCCAGGUGUGCCCAGGUGUGUCCAGGUGUGCCCCAGGUGUGUCCCAGGUGUGUCCCAGGUGUGCCCAGGUGUGCCCAGGUGUGUCCCAGGUGUGUCCCAGGUGUGCCCAGGUGUAUCCCAGGUGUGUCCCAGGUGUGUCAGGUAUGUCCCAGGUGUGUCCCAGGUGUGUCCCAGUCUCGCGGUGUGAUGUCAUACCUUGCCUCAGGUGUCCCAAUCCAUUCCCAGGUGUGUCACUCACCUGACAUUUCCCCUCCCAGCACUGUCAGUCAGUCCUGGAGGGACGGACUUCAGUGACAGUGGGUCCUGGCAGGGUGAAUUUCAAUGGAGGUGGGUCCUGGCAGGGUGAAUUUCAGUGGAGGUGGGUCCUGGCAGGGUGAAUUUCAAAGGAGGUGGGUCCUGGCAGGGUGAAUUUCUGUGGAGGUGGGUCCUGGCAGGGUGAAUUUCAAAGGAGGUGGGUCCUGGCAGGGUGAAUUUCAAUGGAGGUGGGUCCUGCUGGGAUGGACUUUAGUGGAGGUGGGUCCUGGCAGGGUGAAUUAUUGUGGAGGAACUGAUGGAGGUGGGUCCUGGCAGGAUGAAUUUCUGUAGAGGUGGGUCCUGGUGGGAAGAACUUCAGUGCAGGUGGGUCCUGGCAGGAUGAAUUUUUGUUCGGGAACUUCAAUGGAGAUGGGUCCUGGCAGGAUGAAUUUCAAUGGAGAUGGGUCCUGGAAGGAUGAAUUUCUGGGGAGGAGCUGAUGGAGGUGGGUCCUAGCAGGAUGAAUUUCCAAGGAGGUGAGUCCUGGCAGGAUGGACUUUAAUGGGAGAACUGGUGGAGGUGGGUCCUGGCAGGAUGAAUUUCUGUGGAGGAGCUGGUGGAGGUGGGUCCUGGCAGGGUGAAUUUCAGUGGAGGUGGGUCCUGGCAGGAUGAAUUUCAAUGGAGGAAUUGGUGGAGGUGGGUCCUAGCAGGAUGAAUUUCAAUGGAGGUUGGUCCUGGUGGGAUGAAUUUCCAAGGAGGUGGGUCCUGGCAGGAUGGACUUUAAUGGGAGAACUGGUGGAGGUGGGUCCUGGCAGGAAGAAUUUCUGUGGAGGAGCUGAUGGAAGAGGCUCCAACCAUCAACCUCUGGCCAGGAGCUGAUGGAGAUGAGAUCCAGGUGGAGAUGGGAUCCAAAUGGAGAUGGGAUCCAAAUGGAGAUGGGAUCCUGGUGGAGAUGGGAUCCAAAUGGAGAUGGGAUCCAAAUGGAGAUGGGAUCCUGCUGGAGAUGGGAUCCAAAUGGAGAUGGGAUCCUGCUGGAGAUGGGAUCCUGGUGGAGAUGGGAUCCUGCUGGAGAUGGGAUCCUGGUGGAGAUGGGAUCCUGGUGGAGAUGGGAUCCAGGUGGAGAUGGGAUCCAAAUGGAGAUGGGAUCCUGGUGGAGAUGGGAUCCUA